UACAGAGGUCUCAAGCGUUGUUCGGAAUCACUGGGCGUAAAGGGAGCGUAGGCGGAUGUUUAAGUCGGGUGUUUAAAACCGGGGCCCAACCCCGGAGCGGCACCCGAAACUGGGCAUCUUGAAUAGGUCAGAGGCUGGUGGAAUUGGAGGUGUAGCGGUGGAAUGCGUAGAGAUCUCCAAGAACACCUAUUGCGAAGGCAGCCAGCUGGGACCAUAUUGACGCUGAGGCUCGAAAGCAGGGGGAGCAAACAGG
rnacentral:rRNA from 1 species